UAAUAGAAUUAGUAACUAUAUAUACCGUACUGUAUUAUAUAUUGUCACAGUUCAAUUUGGAUCUCAAUUUGAAACAUGAAACUCUUCAUCAUCCUUUCCGCCCUUGUGGUGAUGACCAUAGCAGAGGAUUUUGUCAUAUUCAGUCCAACAAUGAUCAAAGAAAUUAGUGAUUGCUUCGUUGAUCGUGCACCAUGUCACUCUCUGAUUCAGUCAUACAAAAAAAACAUGGCUGAAGUAGUCUUCACAGCCUGCCACAGAUGCAAUGACCUCCAGAAGAAAUUUUUGAACCGUUACCUGAUGGCUCUGAAGGAGUACUAUCCUCAGUACUACGGGGACUUCCAGGAGAAAUACGAUCCUGAC